rnacentral:rRNA from 1 species
ACGAACAGUUGGAAACGACUGCUAAUACCGCAUAAGCCCACAGCUCGGCAUCGAGCAGAGGGAAAAAGGGAAGUGAUCCGCUUUGAGAUGGCCUCGCGUCCGAUUAGCUAGUUGGUGAGGUAAUGGCCCACCAAGGCAACGAUCGGUAGCCGGACUGAGAGGUUGAACGGCCACAUUGGGACUGAGACACGGCCCAGACUCCUACGGGAGGCAGCAUG